rnacentral:rRNA from 1 species
CGGAUUGCAGGCUGCAACUCGCCUGUAUGAAGUCGGAAUUGCUAGUAAUCGCGGAUCAGCAUGCCGCGGUGAAUACGUUCCCGGGCCUUGUACACACCGCCCGUCACACCAUGAGAGCCGGGAACACCCGAAGUCCGUAGUCUAACCGCAAGGAGGACGCGGCCGAAGGUGGGUUUGGUAAUUGGGGUGAAGUCGUAACAAGGUACC